rnacentral:piRNA from 1 species
CCCCAUCAUGACAGCCCGGC